GAGGAAUAUUGGUCAAUGGGCGCAAGCCUGAACCAGCCAUGCCGCGUGCAGGAUGAAGCAUCUAUGGUGUGUAAACUGCUUUUGUACGGGAAGAAACACCUCUACGUGUAGGGGCUUGACGGUACCGUAAGAAUAAGGAUCGGCUAACUCCGUGCCAGCAGCCGCGGUAAUACGGAGGAUCCAAGCGUUAUCCGGAAUCAUUGGGUUUAAAGGGUCCGUAGGCGGCCCUGUAAGUCAGUGGUGAAAUCUCCCGGCUCAACCGGGAAAUUGCCAUUGAUACUGCAGGGCUUGAAUUACUAGGAAGUAACUAGAAUAUGUAGUGUAGCGGUGAAAUGCUUAGAGAUUACAUGGAAUACCAAUUGCGAAGGCAGGUUACUACUAGUGGAUUGACGCUGAUGGACGAAAGCGUGGGUAGCGAAC
rnacentral:rRNA from 1 species